rnacentral:rRNA from 1 species
GACGAACGCUGGCGGCGUGCUUAACACAUGCAAGUCGAACGGAAAGGCCCUGCUUGCUGGGUGCUCGAGUGGCGAACGGGUGAGUAACACGUGGGUGAUCUGCCCCUUACUUUGGGAUAAGCCUGGGAAACUGGGUCUAAUACUGGAUAGGACCAUGCUGUCGGUGGUGUGGUGGAAAGUUUAGUUUCGGUGAGGGAUGAGCUCGCGGCCUAUCAGCUUGUUGGUGGGGUAGUGGCCUACCAAGUCGUCGACGGGUAGCCGGCCUGAGAGGGUGGACGGCCACAUGGGGACUGAGAUACGGAGCAGAGUCCUACGGGAGGCAGCAGUGGGGAAUAGGGGACAAUGGGCGCAAGCCUGAUACAGCGACGCCGCGUGGCGGAUGGCGGCCUUCAGGUUGUAGGCUCGUUUCAGCCUUGUCGAAGCCAUUGUGGUGACGGUAGUGGUAGAAGAAGCACCGGCUAACUACGUG